rnacentral:rRNA from 1 species
GACGAACGCUGGCGGCGUGCCUAAUACAUGCGAGUCGAGCGAACGGACGAGAAGCUUGCUUCUCUGAUGUUAGCGGCGGACGGGUGAGUAACACGUGGAUAACCUACCUAUAAGACUGGGAUAACUUCGGGAAACCGGAGCUAAUACCGGAUAAUAUUUUGAACCGCAUGGUUCAAAAGUGAAAGACGGUCUUGCUGUCACUUAUAGAUGGAUCCGCGCUGCAUUAGCUAGUUGGUAAGGUAACGGCUUACCAAGGCAACGAUGCAUAGCCGACCUGAGAGGGUGAUCGGCCACACUGGAACUGAGACACGGUCCAGACUCCUACGGGAGGCAGCAGUAGGGAAUCUUCCGCAAUGGGCGAAAGCCUGACGGAGCAACGCCGCGUGAGUGAUGAAGGUCUUCGGAUCGUAAAACUCUGUUAUUAGGGAAGAACAUAUGUGUAAGUAACUGUGCACAUCUUGACGGUACCUAAUCAGAAAGCCACGGCUAACUACGUG